UACGUAGGGACCGAGCGUUGUCCGGAAUCAUUGGGCGUAAAGAGCGUGUAGGCGGCCUUUUAAGUCCUGCGUGAAAUCCUGCGGCUCAACCGCAGACGGUCGUGGGAAACUGGAAGGCUAGAGUGCGGGAGAGGAGUGUGGAAUUCCUGGUGGAGCGGUGAAAUGCGCAGAGAUCAGGAGGAACACCCGUAGCGAAGGCGGCACUCUGGGCCGAUACUGACACUGAGGAGCGAAAGCGUGGGGAGCGAACAGG
rnacentral:rRNA from 1 species